GGUUCAAGUGAUCCUCCCACCUCGACUUCCACAAGCGCUAGGAUUACAGCCCUUCUCCCCCACUGCACCUCCCCACAUUUUUAUAUUAUACUCUGGAAGGAAGCCACAAGGCAUAGCACACAAUUAAGAAGCAGCGAUUUAUACUCCACUCUUUGAUGGCAAAAUAUCUACAGAAAUUAUUUGAACUUCUUCUGCCCGGGAGAUUUAUCUAUUGUCCCCCAUUGAUUUAUUUAUUCAAUCAUUUGUUUGUAUCAUUAUGGUCUCAUGGAUAUCUAUUUUGCACUUUCAAUACUAUUUUAUUUUGUUGCUCAAGUUGUUCCAGCCCUGGCCAUGGAGAAUACAUUCAGUUGGCUCCUGUGUCCCUGUAACAUAGCCCUGUCAUUAUUGGAUUUGGUUGAGCACUUUCUUACUUUCAGGAGCUACAAAAUGCUCUAGGUUCGUCUUGUAUAUUUCCUGCUCCAUCCUAGAGUCCAUGUCUCCAAGGAGCUUGGUUCUUUUAUUGGAGAAUGUAUUAGAAACCAAGACCUGGACAUGCUCCUUGUUGCAAAGGUGUUAUUGCUUCUAGGCUCAGCUGACAGAGAAAUAACAUAUAUGUGUGUAAAUUAACCCAUGUCUAUACACAUAUAUCUACAAAUCCUUCUCUUUGUAACUAUCUGUAUCUAUAUUAAGCUAAAUAUGAGUUGAUACUGAUGUCUCCAAUCCCAACCCAGUAGCACAUAGAUAAUUCUAACCUUCUCCCCCUUGCUUGUUUCCUCUCCCUCCUACAAUGAAGAACCUGGCUUCUGCCAUCAGCCAUUCGUUUAUUUCAUUGUUCAAUUCCAGUCUCCUGUAGAGUACUUCCAUAAUUGUUAAGCCAUACCCACAUAGAAAUAACUUUAUAAGUUUGAGUGCUUAUACAGAGCUCUUUUUGCCUUUAAUCUUACAGACUCGAUUCAUUUCCAAACUUACUUACGUAAGCAUUUUCUCUCACAUCCCCUUCAGUACGCUUAUUUCAUGCAUUUGUAAUACAGUUAGAUUAUUUUGCCAUAUUUUACAUUUCAUCCUGGAAUCCUCCAACCUUCUAAAUAUUUUUUAAAUUUUGUAUAAUUAAGUUUCUCUAUGCCAUGAAGUUCUAUGGGCUUUGACAAGUGCAUAGUGUCAUGUAUCUAGUAUUAUCACAAUAUCAUAAAAAGAUAGUUUUACCACCCUUUAAAAAAUCCCUAGUGGUUGACCUAUUCAAUUCCUUUCACCAAGAGUUUCUGAAACCACUGGUCUAUUUGCCAUCUCCAUAAGAGUUUUGCCUUUUCCAGGAUAUUACUUAAAUGGAAUUAUACCUUAUGUAGCCUUUUAAGACUGGCUUUUUUCACUUAGCAACAUGCAUUUAAGAUUCAUCUAUGUCUUCCUGUGGUUUGACAGCUCAUUCCAUUGUGUGGAUGUGCCACAGUUUAUUUAGCCAUUCACCUACUAAAGUUUACUUCUAGUUUUUGGUAGUUGUAAAUAAAACUGCUAUAAAAUUCUCAUGCUGAUUUUUGUGUAGACAUAAGUUCUCAACUCAUUUAAGUAAAUACUUACGAACAUGAUUGCUGGGUCCUAUGAUGAGGCUAUGUUUAACUCUAAGAAACUGCCAAACUGUCUUCCAAAGUGGCUGUAACCGUUUUAAAUUCACACCAGCAAUGAAUGAGACUCCUGUUGUUCCACAAAGUUCCGUUGAUCCUUGUCAGCAAAUGGUAUUGUCAGUUAUUUUUGGAUUUUAGCCAUCCUUAUAGGUGUAUAAUAGUACCUCGUUGUUUAACCGCUUUUAAAAAUAUUAAAAGUUUGUCAGGAGUGGGGAGUAAAACUUAAAAACUAAACAAGAAAUCUGAGUCACCAGCAUGAGCCAUAGAGAACACUGUUGAGAUAGCUCAGGCUAUAGAAGAGGUGCUCCUCUUCCGGGUCCUAUAAGAAGCAGGAUGUAGAAACCACCAACUUGUUUCCUCCACUUGACUUUAGCUCUUAUGUUCUCCAUUAUCAAGUAAGAGAGCAAACAAAGUUGUGGGAGCUAAUAAGGCUUUACAUAAAAUAAAUGAGAAAGAGAGGAGAGAAAUGCAAAAAGUAACUUCUCAGAACACAGAAGACAUUAUCCUUUCCAAACCAAAAUGAAAAACAUGUCCAAAAAGAGAAGAGAGGGCUGUCAUCUGGAUAGAGGAGAUGAUCCUAGAAACCCUGAUGGCUCCUUUUUAUUAAUAUAAGAGUACCUGGGAUUUGUUUUAAUCAGGUAUGGUAAGACAUGCAGAAAAGACAGUCAUGAAGGAAUAAGUUUUUAUACUUACAGAUACCUAAUAACAGGAGCACCCUAGGUAGGGCAACAUGGAGAAGGGUGAGUCAAGAGAAAGAAGGAGUGAGGGGGGAUCGUGGACAAGAACCUUUAUUGAGAAGGGAAAGGCAGAGUAAGCAGGUUUAGGAUUGGCUAGUUUGAAUAAUUCCAGCAGGAUCUGGGGCAUAGGGGCUGUCUCUAGUCAUCUGGUAUCCUGUCAUGGCCUAGGGUGAUUAGGACAGUGGGAUAGUGGGUCUGCAUAUAAGAGCCAGAUAAAGGAGGUGGUAGAAGUGUGGGCUUUGGAUUGGCUGGUUUGCGUAUGAAAGAUAGGCUCCCAGGCAAGUUGCUAUCUCUAGGAAUUUCAUAACCCUGGGAGGGGCAGUUCCUUUCAACGUCAGCUAGACUCCAAGAUGUUGAAGAAUCAGAAUAAAAAGACAUACUUAAUACACUUCUUACAUCAUUUUUAUUGUUGGGUCUACUUUUGCUGAAGCUGCCUGCGACUGUCCUUGGUCUUUUCCCCCGUGACCUCCCUGGUUCCUGAGAUCUGAGCAGUAUAAGCUUCUCCAGAUGCUUGAGGGACAGGGUUGCACCAUCUUGGCCUUGUGAUCUACCUGCCUCCACCUCCGAAAGUGCUGGGAUUACAGGUACCAAAAAGGAUGAACAAAGACAUUCUGACAUUACAACAGGCUGGAUUUGCUACGAGGUAUACAAAUGAAGAAGGCUUGGAGAAAGAAUUAGCGGGGAUUCGCAUCUAGAUAAAGCAAGUUAUCACUGUCUGCAUAACCUUGAAUGAAUCACAGACCUUUCUCUAGCUCAUUCAUUAAAGCUUUGUUUAAUUCAACAAAUAUUUAUCACAUGACAGGCGCCUGCCCUAAGCACUGGGGCUUCAUUCAUUUAUUCAUUCAACAAAUAUUUAUUAAAUCUCUACUAUGUGCCAAGCACUGAUCACGGGGUUGGGAUACAGCCAUGAAUAAAAUAGGCAAUAUUUCUGCCCCUCAUGGAGUUUAUAUUCUAGUGGUAUGGGGAGCAGGGAGGCAAUAAACAAAUAAAUAUACAAUCAACAUGUCAGGUGUUAAGUGCUAUGUAGAAGAAUAAAGGGGGUACUGGGAUAAGGAAGGCCAUGGGUGAUACUUUAUCUAGGAUGUCUUGGAAGGCAGGCCUCUGGGAGUUCAGAUUUAAGCAGACAUGGGAAGAAAGCUAAGGAGGGAGACAUACAGGUAUGUGGGGAAAGAACACAUAACAAAGAGUACAAUAGGCAUGACUCAAUCAAUUAUACCUCAGUAAAGCUGGAAAAAAAAGGAAUGACUCAUUCUAUACAAAAGCCUUCUACUUUGCCUCAAAUCCCUUCUGGAAAGAAGAAAUGUGUAAAUCAACCAUAAAUGCCUUACCUACCCAGCAAGAACAGAACGACCUAAAAUGAAGAUGAAAUGAAAAAGUGUUUUUAGAAGUAUAGAAGGCUAUAUAAAUAUACAGUAAUGCUCUUUAUUAGUCACUGGUUUACACUAACAGGAUCAAGUAUGCAUCUAUAUUUGAAGGUCUUAUGCACAAAUUAAAUUGGUGCUGGCCCAAGUUCAAGAGCUAAUACAAAUGCCAAAAACGUAUUUGGUGGUUAUGGUGAGUGACCGUGUAACCUGCUUAGAACUGUACCCUAGGCCUGUAGUCCUCAUGCAAACAUAGCCUCUCAUAGUAUAUCUCAUAGUAUACCAUUUCCUGCUGCAUUUGAUUAGGCAAAGCUGAAAUCUCCCAACCAAGAUGUGACCUAAAUUUCUUUAUUUACAAGGAAAUCACUGGUUAGAAAAUUCCUUAGCCUUGGCAAUUAGUCAAUCAAGUUCAUUAGCAGAGGUUGACAUAUUUCCAGGACUGGUGAAAUUUUAAUUGGGUAGUAAGGAGGAGAAUACUCAAGCUUUAAGGAAAUUCUCAUUCAAAAUGUUCUAACCUUCCAGCUUCUCCUACAUUUUCCUUAAAUCUAACUUAGGGGGAUAAUCCAGACCAUACACACAUGAAUUCAGCCUGGAUGUGGCAUUUUGGAAGAAAACCCCAGCUGAGUACACAUGAAUGUGUCUCAGCUUUGCCAGAAGAAAAAUAGUUGUGCAUUAUACAUGGACUAUACAGACAUUUUUUGUAAGUCUUACUUUAAAAUGUUUGAAUUUUCAAACUUAAAAUGUUCCAUGUGUUUAGUGUUUCUUGUUUCAUUAGACUAAAGAGAAGUGGUUGAAAAUUCAGUCUCAGCAAACAUGUGGUAUAUUCCAAGAAUGUUUCAUAUAUUAUGAUUUCGUAGCUAUAGAGUUGUAAACAUGGCUUUUACACUCAUUACUGGUUGUAGUUAAAAGAUCAUUUAUUCAAUAAACAUUUAUUGAGUACCUACUAUAUGCCAGGCCCUAUUCUAGGCACAGGAGAUACAGCAGCAAAUAAAGUUCAUACAUUUAAGGAAACAGGCCAUAAAUGAAUUUGUAAAUAAAUAUAACGCAAGUAGUGAAGCAAUUGUUCUUCCUGUUUUAUUUAGGGAAAGGGAGUGUGGGAGGGGCUGCUAUUUUAGAAAGAAAGCCUCUCCCUUGAAGUCUCAUUUGAAUAAAGAUCUUAAUGAGCCUUUUGCUGAUUUGGGGAAGAAUCCCCACACAGACAAGAGUGGGCCAGGCUCUGUUGUCGGGAGUGCCUGGAACAGCCUGAAGGCCAAUGUGGCUGGGGCAGAGUGAGAGGUGAGCAAAGUAGUAGGAAAUGAGAUCUUAUGUGAAACCCCCAUGUCAUAGGGUUCUUGCACACCCAAAGUGGAAUGACUACUGAGUCCACAGUCUGGCUUCAUUUUCUGGACGUUCAAGUGAUGAUAAGGAAUUGCAAGGAAAGCCUGCUGUCAAACAACAAUCUCCUCAUUAAGUUUCACAUGAACACAUACAAAAAAGGACAUUCUCUUUUUCCCUCUCAGGACCUUUGCAUUUCAACAGCUUGAAAUGCUCUUCUUUACUCCUCUUCCUAUCAAAUUCCCCAGGUUUAAUUUAAGCUCUGCCCCCUGUGAGAAUCUUCUCUUAACUCCUCCAGCUGACACUGAGUCAAUCUUCUUUGUGACUAGGGGGUCUUAACCUAGGACUUCCCUGGCAUCAAUAGAUUAUUUACAGGAACUCUGAAACUGCAUAUGAAAAAUUUUGUGUAUCAAUCAAUAUGCUUUUCCAAGGGUGCUCAUAAAUCCCAUGAGAUUUUCAAAUGAGUUUGUAGCUUUGAAAGGUGGAGAACCACCAAGCACUCAUGGACGGUGCUUCUCAAACAUUAAAUCUGCACGCAAACUAUCCACAUUUCAUUAGACUGAAGAUUCCAACUUGGUAGCCCUGGAGUGAGGCUUGGUGCUGCUGGUCCUGGGACCAUACUUGGUAGCAAGAGACUAGAAUGUGGUCAGCAUUUGCUUGUGUACACUGGCAAGGUGCUCUCUGCACUUAGGUAGAUCACAGGUUUCUGGACAGCAAGGGCACUGACAAUACUACUUGGCUUUUCUCCCAAGUAGGGACUAAUAGAAAAACAGCCCACUGUUGGGCCUGACAGGUGGUCUACAGAUACCAGGCUUCUAAGGUUACCACCAAAUGUUUUUAAGGCUAAACCUUUCCAAAAUUCACAGCAGAAUCUCAAAACUCCUAAAAUCUUCCUGAAGCAAAGCUUUUUCCUCUCUUCCGGUAGUAGACUCCCAUAACAUGUUGAAACCUAAAUCCAUCAACUCUACAAGCUAUCAUAGUUAGCACAGGAAAUGCACUCAUUUGGAAGAAUAAUUCACUAUAUGAGGGAUCAGUUACUCACUGAAGAUGUUCAGUACAAAGAAAUAACGUGAGGCACAGGGCAUGGUGGCUCAUGCCUGUAAUCCCAGCACUUUCGGAGGCUGAGGCAGAAGGAUCACUUGAGGCCAGG
rnacentral:lncRNA from 1 species